GGAACUGUGCCUGAGCGCCCAAGGACCACUUUGAUAGAGUGAUUUACAGGGGUUAAAACCCCCUCAGUUCCUA
rnacentral:tRNA from 1 species